UAACCAUAAAAGUGAUUCAUUAUAUGAUGUCACACAAAUAGACCAAAGUUAGCACUCACGGCCACGGAAUCAAAAGGGUUGGUCUUUAAUGGAGGAUAAGUGAUGACAAACAGAUGACUCUGUAGCUAACUCUGCUUAAACGGCGACACUUUCAUUUAUUCUCUCUCCUCUCCGGCGAUCGGCAACUCUGUUAUCGGAUACAGUCUCAUCAUUUGUGAAAACUACGGAAAGGAGAGUCUCACUGUAUGAUGUAUACUCUGUUUGUGGUCAUCAGAUAUAACUUGGUAACUAUCGUGUUAUGUUUUGCUUGAGCUGAGGGUCUCUUGGAAACAAUCUCUCUAUCUCCACGAGGUAGGAGUAAGGUCUACGUACGCUCUUCCCUCUCCAGACCUAGGAUUACACUGGUGAUGUUGAUAAGAUAGAGAGAGCGAUUCAUUGAGGUGAUUGUCCAUCAUGGAUUGUAACUGCUUUGAUCCACAAUUGCCCGCGGAUGAGUUGUUAAUGAAGUAUCAGUACAUUUCCGAUUUUUUCAUAGCAGUUGCUUAUUUCUCCAUCCCAGUCGAGUUGGUAUACUUUGUCCAGAAAUCAGCUGUCUUUCCUUAUCGAUGGGUGCUCGUGCAGUUUGGUGCUUUCAUAGUUCUUUGUGGAGCAACACAUCUUAUCAACUUGUGGACAUCUACUGCUCAUACAAAGACUGUGGCAUUAGUGAUGACUAUCUCAAAGGUCUUCACUGCUGUUGUAUCAUGUGCAACUGCUCUCAUGCUUGUGCACAUUAUUCCGGAUCUAUUAAGCGUCAAAACUAGGGAGCUAUUCUUGAAAAAUAAAGCGGCAGAGCUUGAUCGUGAAAUGGGUCUUAUUCGGACACAGGAGGAGACGGGUAGAUAUGUUAGAAUGCUAACACAUGAAAUUAGAAGUACUCUGGAUAGACAUACUAUUUUGAAGACUACACUUAUUGAACUUGGAAAAGCAUUGGCACUGGAAGAGUGUGCUUUGUGGAUGCCAACUCGAACUGGACUGGAGCUUCAACUUUCUUACACUCUACAUCAUCAAAAUCCAGUUGGAUUUACAGUACCUAUACAACUUCCUGUAAUUAAUCAAGUUUUCAUUACAAAUCGUGCUGUUAAAAUUUCACCAAAUUCUCCCAUUGCAAGGCUUCGACCUGCCGGGAAGUACAUGCCAGGUGAGGUGGUUGCUGUUAGAGUCCCACUUCUGCAUCUCUCAAAUUUUCAGAUUAAUGACUGGCCUGAACUUUCGACGAAGCGCUAUGCUUUGAUGGUUUUGAUGCUUCCUUCAGAUAGUGCAAGAAAAUGGCAUGUCCAUGAAUUGGAGCUUGUUGAAGUGGUAGCUGAUCAGGUAGCUGUUGCUCUCUCCCAUGCUGCCAUCUUGGAGGAAUCAAUGAGGGCUCGAGAUCUUCUUAUGGAGCAGAAUGUGGCUCUUGAUCUGGCAAGAAGAGAAGCAGAAACAGCUGUUCGUGCGCGUAAUGAUUUCCUGGCUGUUAUGAAUCACGAAAUGAGAACUCCCAUGCAUGCAAUAAUUGCACUUUCAUCUUUGCUGCAAGAAAGUAAGCUGACACCAGAGCAGCGUCUGAUGCUGGAAACAAUCCUUAAGAGCAGCAACCUUUUAGCAACAAUUAUCAAUGAUGUCUUGGAUCUUUCAAGGCUAGAUGAUGGAAGCCUUCAACUUGACGUUGGGACUUUCAAUCUUCAUGCUCUCUUCAGAGAGGUCCUUAACUUAAUCAAGCCUAUUGCAUCUGUGAAAAAGCUGUUUGUCACGCUUAGUUUGUCUUCGGAUUUGCCGGAAGUUGCUAUUGGAGAUGAAAAACGGCUUAUGCAAAUUCUUUUAAAUGUUGUUGGAAAUGCUGUAAAAUUCUCAAAAGAAGGCAGUGUCUCAAUUUCUGCUGUUGCUGCAAAAUCACAUUCUUUAAUAGAUCCUAGAGCUCCCGAGUUUUUUCCCGUGCAAAGUGAGAAUCACUUUUAUUUACGCAUACAGGUAAAAGAUACAGGAUCGGGCAUUAAUCCUCUGGAUAUCCCCAAGUUGUUCUCUAAAUUUGCGCAAAACCAGGCAUUAGUAACUAAAAAUUCUGGUGGCACGGGACUUGGCCUUGCUAUUUGUAAGAGGUUUGUUAAUCUUAUGGAGGGACACAUUUGGAUUGAAAGUGAAGGCCUCGGGAAGGGGUCUACUGCUAUCGUUGUUGUUAAACUUGGCAUUCCUGGUCGCUUAAAUGAGUCUAAGCUUCCCUUUAUGAACAUGUUACCUGCAAAUCACAUGCAGAUGACUUUUCAAGGACUAAAGGUCUUGGUUAUGGAUGAUAAUGGGUUUAGCAGGAUGGUAACCAAGAGUCUGCUAGUGCACCUAGGGUGCGAUGUAACAACUGUUGGCUCUGGUGAUGAGUGCUUGAGAGUUCUUAGUCCAGAACACAAAGCAGUAUUCAUGGACGUGAGUAUACCAGGUAUAAGCUGUUAUGACGUUGCUGUCAGUAUACAUGAGAAAUUUGGGAUACAUCACGAAAGGCCACUUAUUGUGGCACUAACGGGGAGCACUGACCGAAUGACAAAAGAAAACUGCAUGAGGGUUGGUAUGGAUGGAGUUAUUCUGAAACCUGUUUCAGUUGACAAAAUGCGAAGUGUUUUAUCCGAGCUUUUAGAGCACGGAGCUGUUCUUCAAUCCUAGUGAAAGAGGAAGUGUUUGCACGACCAGAAGUGUUUGUCAAGACUCAUGCUCUCAGAAUGCAAGUGUAUGUCGCUGUAAAUACAGUUUUCGACUUUGAGCAAAACGAAGAGUUGUUCAUGAUGAUGGCGCGAAAUGCUAAUUGCAGGUAAUGUAUAUAUAUGUUCUCUGGACCCACAUUUGUAAGAUAGAUGAUUCAAUAAUGGAGAAGUAGAUUUUUUCUUCUCCAUUCUCUCUUCUCGAAGCUGCGUCUCUCACCUGAAGUUUUCUUUGAAUCUGGGCUCUUCUCUGAAGAAACCAGUGGUACUUGGUAAACUUGGUUGUGGACUCUACAAGUUUUGCGCUUCCUCUACUUCCCUAGCUGGUCCUUUGUUUUCCUUUAAUUCAACUUGUAUUUAUGAUGUAUCCCCUAUAAUCCCUAAUGUUCCAUUUUAUACUUCUUUUGUUCCUUGUAUUUCUAUUAAUGACAUUACUGUUAAUAAAACUGAUGUUUUGUGGCAUUAUCGACUUGGUCAUGCUCUUUUUUUUCUAAAAUGAAUGUAUUCCUAGUCUUACUGGUACUCUCUCACAGAAGCAGUCCUUCACUUGCCCUAUUUGUCCCCUAACUAGACAACCUAGGCUGCUGGUAGUACUUCCACAUCUUCUUCUCCUUUUGAGCUGAUUCAUAUAGAUACUUGGGGCCCUUACCACUCUCCAACUUAUGAUGGUUUUCGAUAUUUCCUCACCAUUGUUGAUGAUUAUUCUUGAGCAACAUGGACUCGUCUUAUGGGUGCUAAAAGUAAUGUUUUUUAUCUCCUUAAGGCUUUUCUCACCUUAGUAGAAACUCAAUUUCAUUCUCACGUUAAAAUAGUUCGUGGUGAUAAUGCUUUAGAGCUUGGUUCUUCUUUAUCCGGAUCUCAGUUUUUUGCCUCCAAAGGCAUCAUUCAUUAGACUUCUUGUUCUUGCUCUCCUCAAUAGAAUGGGGUUGUUGAAUGAAAACAUAAGUUCCUCCUAGAAACUGCUAGAGCCUUGCUCUUUCAAUCUCAUCUACCUCUUAGGUUCUGGGGGGAUUGUCUUCUGACUGCCACUUAUCUUAUCAAUUGUUUCCCUUCACCUACCUUGAAUCACAAGAGCCUUUUUGAAUUACUUCACCAUAAACCCUCCUCUUAUUCUUAUCUUAAAUCUUUUGGAUGUUUUUGAUACUCACCAUCCUUAUCCCUCAUAGAGAUAAAUUGACUCCACGUGUUAUUCCCUGUGUUUUUAUUGGCUAUCCGUUUGCUAAGAAGGGUUACAAGGUUUACAACCUUCUCUCAAAGACUUGUUUCAUUUCUAGGGAUGUCAUUUUUCAUGAAACCAUCUUUCUUUUCCUUUCCCCUGCUUCUCCUCUCACUCUGUCAUUCUUCCUUUUAUUUUUGAUGACCCUGUCAUACACUCCUCUCUAGUUUCUUUGGACCCUACUCUUGUCCCGUCAAUCACUGUAUCUACUCCUUUUCCUCCUUCUAGGAGGUCAUCCAGAGUGUCCCAUCCCCCAGGUUAUCUUCAAGAUUAUGUUUAUGCUUCUAUGACUAGUCAGCAACCUGUAUGUGAACCUCGGAGUUACCCUCAGGCAGUUGUUUUUCCUCAAUGGCAAGAUGCUAUGAGGAAAGAAUUUGCAGCCUUAGAAGCCACCAAUAUUUGGUCCAUUGUUCCCCUUCCUACUAGUAAGAAACCUAUUGGAUGUAAGUGGGUUUACAAGAUCAAAUAUAGGGUUGAUGGCUCUUUAGAAAGAUAUAAAGCCCGUUUGGUGGUCCGGGGGUACACUCAAGUUGAGUGUGUUGAUUUUCAUGAGACCUUCUCCCCGGUGGUCAAAAUGUCUACUAUCAAAACUCUUGUGGCUGUUGCGGUUAAAAAUCAUUGGUCUUUAUUUCAACUUGAUGUUAACAAUGCUUUUCUCCAUAGGGAUUUGGAUGAAGAAGUUUACAUGAAACUUCCCUCUGGGCUUACUGUUUCUGAUUCCUCUAUCCCUAUGGUUUGCAAGCUUAACAAAUCCCUCUAUGGACUUCGGCAGGCAUUCCGUCAAUGGUAUGCCAAGUUGUCCCAUGCUCUCCAGUCAAGGGAUUAUACUCAUUCUCUAAAUGAUUACUCCCUUUUCACUAAAGGAUCUGGUGAUUCUCUUAUCAUAUUGGUUGUCUAUGUUGAUGAUAUUGUUUUAACUGGCACUGAUUUGAAAGAAAUUGUUGAUCUCAAAUUGUUCUUACAUGAACAAUUUAAGAUCAAGGACUUGGGUUUACUGCAUUAUUUUUUGCGCAUUGAGGUUCUAUACUGUGAUUCUGGUGUUCUUCUACAUCAGAUUAAGUUUGUUCAUGAUUUGCUUGCUGAUUAUUAUUGUGAUGUAUCUUCUUCUGUGGUCUGUCCUCUGGACCUUCAUCGAAAACUGACUGUUGAUAUGGGUGGCCCUUUAGCUCAGCCUGAGAAUUAUCAUAGCCUGGUUUGCAAGUUGAAUUUCUUGACUCAUACUCGGCCUGACCUAUCUUUUGUUGUUCAACACUUGAGUCAGUAUUUGCAGCGCCCUUGUGUGUCUCACAUGCAGGCUGCAUUACACCUUUUGCGUUACCUGAAAGGUUCCCCUGGGUUUGGUUUAUUCUUUAAUAAUUCUGCUGACUUUUCUUUACAAGUCUUUUGUGACAGUGAUUGGGCUUCUUGCCCGGAUAGUCGUCGUUCCAUCACUGGAUUUUGUAUUUUACUUGGAGGAAGUUUAUUCACCUGGAAGUCCAAAAAGCAACCCAUGGUAUCCCUUUCAUUUGUUGAAUCAGAGUAUCGAUCAUUAAGUAAAGUUGUGGGUGAACUAACUUGGCUUUCCCGCCUCCUUUCUGACUUUGGCCAGCACUCUUCUCUAUCAGUUUCAGUGUUCUGUGACAGCAGGUCCGCUAUUCAUAUUGCCAAGAAUCCUGUCUUCCAUGAGCGCACUAAGCACAUCGAGUUGGAUUGCCACUUUGUCCGGGCUAAACUUGUUGCUGGCCUGAUCAGUUUACAUCACACUCCAAGUGUUUCUCAAAUGGUUGAUAUCUUCACUAAGGCCCUACCUGGUGCUACUCAUCACUUUCAUCUUCGCAAGUUGGGCGUUCUAUCACCCUUCAACUUGAGGGGGGUGUUGAGAUACAUGAUAAAAACAUAGAUAUUAGCGGAGUGGGCUAGUUCCAUUUGUGUAUAUAUUUUCUAUGAUGGAGCAUACGGUGUAAGGCCCAAUGUCUUAUUUAUUAUUUGGUUUUGUUCUUUUUUCACUUUCGGGUAAUGUAUAUAUAUAUUCUCUGAACCCACAUUUGUAAGAUAGAUGAUUCAAUAAUGGAGAGGUAGAUAUUUUCUUCUCCA